AGUGAACGCUGGCGGUAGGCCUAACACAUGCAAGUCGAACGGCAGCACAGUAAGAGCUUGCUCUUACGGGUGGCGAGUGGCGGACGGGUGAGGAAUACAUCGGAAUCUACUUUUUCGUGGGGGAUAACGUAGGGAAACUUACGCUAAUACCGCAUACGACCUACGGGUGAAAGCAGGGGAUCUUCGGACCUUGCGCGACUGAAUGAGCCGAUGUCGGAUUAGCUAGUUGGCGGGGUAAAGGCCCACCAAGGCAACGAUCCGUAGCUGGUCUGAGAGGAUGAUCAGCCACACUGGAACUGAGACACGGUCCAGACUCCUACGGGAGGCAGCAGUGGGGAAUAUUGGACAAUGGGCGCAAGCCUGAUCCAGCCAUGCCGCGUGGGUGAAGAAGGCCUUCGGGUUGUAAAGCCCUUUUGUUGGGAAAGAAAGGCAGCAGGUUAAUACCCCGCUGUUCUGACGGUACCCAAAGAAUAAGCACCGGCUAACUUCGUG
rnacentral:rRNA from 1 species